rnacentral:rRNA from 1 species
CCUACGGGAGGCAGCAGUGAGGAAUAUUGGUCAAUGGACGAGAGUCUGAACCAGCCAAGUAGCGUGAAGGAUGACUGCCCUAUGGGUUGUAAACUUCUUUUAUAUGGGAAUAAAAUGUUCCACGUGUGGGAUUUUGUAUGUACCAUAUGAAUAAGGAUCGGCUAACUCCGUGCCAGCAGCCGCGGUAAUACGGCGGAUCCGAGCGUUAUCCGGAUUUAUUGGGUUUAAAGGGAGCGUAGGUGGAUUGUUAAGUCAGUUGUGAAAGUUUGCGGCUCAACCAUAAAAUUGCAGUUGAAACUGGCAGUCUUGAGUACAGUAGAGGUGGGCGGAAUUCGUGGUGUAGCGGUGAAAUGCUUAGAUAUCACGAAGAACUCCGAUUGCGAAGGCAGUUCACUGGACUGCAACUGACACUGAGGCUCGAAAGUGUGGGUAUCAAACAGGAUUAGAUACCCUAGUAGUC